CUCUUUACCCCAAAAGAAACCCUAGCUGCCCUUUACCUCCUUCAGCCGCCAAUUACUUUCACCCCCAAUAACCCCACUCAUCGAAGAAAGAAAGAAAAAAAAAAGGAAAUGAAAACAGGGGAAGGAGGGGAGAGAGGGUGAGAUUCGAGAAAGCAGAGAGAAAGAGAGGGAAGAGCGCCGGGGGAAGGAGGAAGACGCGCCGGAGCUAGUGGGCUGUUCCACCGCUCCUCGUCGCGGCUGAAGCCGUCGCCGCCACUGAUGCGUCCGCACCGUCGUAUGUCGCUAAUAGAGGAAGAGGAGCGCGAACCAGAGCCAUGCAAGGGAGGAGCAAAGCGCGCGCAGGGGAGGAGUCACUGCUACCAUGGUUAAGGUCGCCGACGUCGUCCUCACCGCAAGCCAGAGUCACCGUCAUCCAUGGUGGAGCCAAGGAGAGAGAGAGAGAAGACACCGUCGAGGAUCCCGUCGCCGUCAGAUCUGCCUCGUCACCACCGUGCUUCCAUCAGCGCCGUGGAUCUGUUUCAUCGCUGAGCUGAGCUAUGGAAGGAAGGGUCAGAACGUGACGGGAAAGGGAGACACCUUCCACCGCUGUCCCGCCGCCAGAUCCGUGUCACCGCCACGAACCGCCGCUGUUCUGGCUGUCGGAAGCCGCCGCCGAGCCUUUGCCUUCUUGUUAAGGUUACAGUUGGACCAUCGGAGUUUCUGGCCGCUGUCGGAGAUGCCUCCAGGUCAGCUCGGAAUUGCGGCUGUUCCAUUUUGCUCUUACUGAUUGAGUUAUCGGGAUUGCCUAUUGCAAUUAAAGCUGUUUCUGCUAUUGCGGAAGUGAGCAGACCUACGAUUGAAGCUGCAGUUGGUUUCGGGCGGAGAGGAAUGGUUCUUGUGACGCCUUUAGUUUAUGGGUUCAACUUUCGAGAUAAAUUGUUAUCAAGAGAGCUCAUCAACAUAUUCAAAGAGAUAAGCGAAAGGAACUAGAACCUCUACUUUAUCCAACAGGAAACAUGAUUCCAAUUAUUAUGAAGUAGAUGGAAGGAUGAGCAAUCAAUUGCAUCAAUGAGACCAAUCAACAAUAAAGUAAGGAUUACAGCAUUAAUGACGGGACAACUGCAUUGAUGAUACAUAUUUUUGUUUUAGUGUUAUUGAUCAAACGUGAAAUUGACUUAGGUUCAUCCAAUCAAAAUUUAUUCUAUUGGUUGAGGAGGUACAGUUAAAGUAGACAAAACUCAAUUAUGAAAGAUGAUAAAAAGAGAAAUAUUGGAUCAAAAAAUAAAAGGUAAUGCAAUAAACUUUUAUUACAUAAUAAAUAUUUCCGUCUAUUUUGUCCUAUAUACCAAUUAUGUUAAACUUUUUAACUCUUUUUUUUUCAGCCAUGAACUUAAAAAAACACAACUAACUCAUUUCGAUACAAAACAAUAUCAUUGGAGGUAAUUGUUAUUAAGAAAAAAAAUUCCUAACAAAAAAAGAUGUAAUAUCAUUUAAUUUAUAUUUUGUCAAUGAUAAAUAAGGAUUAAUGUCAUUUUUUUUGUCCUUUCAAAAAGUUCAAUGCAAAACAAGAUAUCACAAUUCUACAUAUUUUACUUGAAUUAUUCUCUAUAAUAAGCAAUCAAUUUAAUUGAAUAAACCUGAAGUGUUUAUAUGGUUAUUUUUAUGGUAAAUAAAAUCUGACAAUUUUUCAAGAUGCAAGAAGUUAUUGACAAGGAGAUGUAUGGUGAAUUACGAAAGAUUUUUUUCAGGAAACUGAAGGCAUCUUCAGAAUCAAAAUCAUAUUUUGGCCUACCACUUAAAAAAGAAGAAGACAAACAUGAAUAUCCAUGAUAUUUAGACAAAAUUAAUUUUUGUAAAUAACUAACGUGCAUUUGGGUUUAUAGAUAUACUCUUUUUAAAUUAUGAUAACAUUUUGAACGUUAUUUCUUGAACUAUACCUUUUUCUGAUAGUAUAUACAUAUAUC